rnacentral:rRNA from 1 species
GACGGAGGAUGCAAGUGUUAUCCGGAAUCACUGGGCGUAAAGCGUCUGUAGGUGGUUCGAAAAGUCCACUGUUAAAAAUUGAGGCUUAACUUCAAAGAUGCCGUGGAAACUUUCAAACUAGAGUAUGGUAGGGGUAGAGGGAAUUUCCAGUGGAGCGGUGAAAUGCGUAGAUAUUGGAAAGACCACCGAUGGCGAAGGCACUCUACUGGGCCACUACUGACCACUGAGAGACGAAAGCUAGGGGAGCAAAUGGG